rnacentral:rRNA from 1 species
UACGAAGGGGGCUAGCGUUGCUCGGAAUUACUGGGCGUAAAGGGCGCGUAGGCGGCACUGUUAGUCAGGCGUGAAAGUCCUGGGCUCAACCUGGGAACUGCGCUUGAUACGGCAGAGCUAGAGGAUGGAAGAGGCUCGCGGAAUUCCCAGUGUAGAGGUGAAAUUCGUAGAUAUUCGGAAGAACACCAGUGGCGAAGGCGGCUCACUGGACUGGUAUUGACGCUGAGGUGCGAAAGCGUGGGGAGCAAACAGG